rnacentral:lncRNA from 1 species
CACCACAUAAAAAGUAAAGCAAAGAAAUUUAAGCGUAUCUUAUUGUGGUAAAAAAAGUAUAUAAAAAGUAUGUAAAAAAGUGAUACUUAUGUAACAACUUUUUUUUUAAUUCACUAUAAGUGAUUAUGUAAAGCGAUAAAUUAUAUGCGCUUUUUGAAUAUAUUAACUUAAAUUACCAAUACAACUUUUUGAAAAAAAAUUUUUUUAAAGAUUUUUAUUUUGUAAUUCAUUAAUAUAACAAUAUUAUAAAUUAAUAAAUUGGUAAAUUUUGUAAAUUAAAGGUUAAUUAAAAAUAAAAAAAUAAACUAUCUCACUGAAAUAUAUAAAAGUAUAAAUAACAAAUGGAUGUAUGUAGUUUGUAGCCAUUAUUCCAUUUGCUAUAUUCCAUUUUUACUUUUAUGACUUUGUAUAAAAAGCGAAAAGGAAAUAAAAAUGUAUAUUUUUGCAGUUCUUGUGUCAAAAUUUUAAAGUAAACCAUUGAUGGAUAUUAUUAGAAAAGGGAGAAUCUUACUUAUAUAUUCUCUAAUAAUAUUUUAUAUACAUUUUUAUAAAAAUGUUAAAACAAGCAGAAAAAAAAAAAGUUUUUUUUACAUUUUUAAAACAUGUCAGAUGAAAACGACAAGAACAAACUUUCAAUUAAAAAAUAGUUGUACAUUUCUAACUGGAAUUAAGGUAACAAAUGUAAACAAAAUCUGAACACAAUUUUUUUAGCUAUACGGAGUUCGUACCCUAGUGGUAAUAUUCAUUUGGGAAAUUAUAUCGGAUGCUUAUACCCCCUAAUAAAUCUUGAAGUCAAAAAAAAAAACAUUAAAUGUGUUAAAAAAAAGCACCAUGAUAUAGCGGAAUUAAGAAAGAUCAUAUUAAUAGCCGAUCUUCAUUGUUUAACUAAUAUAAAUAGUUUAUUUUCUUUGAAAAAAGAUGUUUAUGAUCUAACAAAAGCUAUUAUAUCUUUGAUAAUAGAUAUAUACUUACAAAAAAAAAAAUACAUAGACAUAUAUAUAAAUGAUAUAAACUUGAAAAACAUUAUCAGAUAUAUUAAAAGCAAUAAAUCAUAUGACACGAGCAAUCUUUUUCACCAUGAAACCAAUAAUAAUAACAAUGACAACGACAGUAGCAAAGGUAAAAAAAAUAACAAUGACAAUAACUUAUUAUACUAUGACAAGACAUGUAACGACCCAAGUGACACCUUGCAACUUAAACAGAAAAAUAUUUUAAAUAAAAGUGAUAAUACUUUUUAUAAACAAAAUAAUAUUUUAUAUAAUUAUAAGAAUAACAAACUUGAUACAAAUUUUGAAGAUAGAAAUAAAAAAAAAAAUAAUAAGUACAAAAAAAUAAACACAAAAAAUAAAGUGUUUCAAAAACAUUAUUACUACAUUUUUAAACAAUCAGAUAUUCAAGCACACACAUCAUUGUAUUAUAUUAUAAAUACAUUUACUUCAGUUAAUUUAUUAAAUUCACAUAUUCAUGUAAAAGUUAGUGAAAAAAACAAAUCACUUGCUUUAUUGUCCUAUCCAAAUUUAAUGUUAUCAGA